AGUGAACGCUGGCGGUAGGCCUAACACAUGCAAGUCGAACGGCAGCACAGUAAGAGCUUGCUCUUACGGGUGGCGAGUGGCGGACGGGUGAGGAAUACAUCGGAAUCUACUUUUUCGUGGGGGAUAACGUAGGGAAACUUACGCUAAUACCGCAUACGACCUACGGGUGAAAGCAGGGGAUCUUCGGACCUUGCGCGAUUGAAUGAGCCGAUGUCGGAUUAGCUAGUUGGCGGGGUAAAGGCCCACCAAGGCGACGAUCCGUAGCUGGUCUGAGAGGAUGAUCAGCCACACAGGAACUGAGACACGGUCCAGACUCCUACGGGAGGCAGCAGUGGGGAAUAUUGGACAAUGGGCGCAAGCCUGAUCCAGCCAUACCGCGUGGGUGAAGAAGGCCUUCGGGUUGUAAAGCCCUUUUGUUGGGAAAGAAAUCCAGCCGGCUAAUACCUGGUUGGGAUGACGGUACCCAAAGAAUAAGCACCGGCUAACUUCGUG
rnacentral:rRNA from 1 species